UCAGCUAUUUUUCACUCAGCAAUUUUGUUGAUACCAUUCACUCCACUUGAACCAAUCUUACUCAAACAGAGCCGUCAAACUACACAAGAUGAUGCUACUACUGCUGCUCUGCUGUGCUCUUGCCUCGGUUCACGCCUCUGAUUUUCCUCCCCCAAAAGAACCUUUUACCCUAUCCUGGACCGGCGCUCCCAUGGUGUGGCCAAACGAAGCUGCCAGAGACCUGUAUAAGUCCGCUGGAAACUUUGACCCGAGUCACAUGGUGGGCACUAGGUUUGCCUUGUUCAGGGAUCAGGUGUUCAUGGUUUUCCCGCGUUAUCGGGAAGGAGCAUGCGCGAC